UGCCAGCCGCCGCGGUAAUACGGAGGGGGUUAGCGUUGUUCGGAAUUACUGGGCGUAAAGCGUACGUAGGCGGAUUAAUAAGUUAGAGGUGAAAUCCCCGGGGCUCAACCCCGGAACUGUCUCCAAAACUGCCAGUCUAGAGUUCGAGAGGGGUGAGUGGAACUCCAAGUGUAGAGGUGAAAUUCGUAGAUAUUUGGAAGAACACCAGUGGCGAAGGCGGCUCACUGGCUCGAUACUGACGCUGAGGUGCGAAAGUGUGGGGAGCAAACAGGAUUAGAUA
rnacentral:rRNA from 1 species